rnacentral:pre_miRNA from 1 species
CCCGGUACAGCUUUAGUAUGGCAGUUAAGCAAACUGCAACUGAAGCUGCACCGAGCA